rnacentral:lncRNA from 1 species
AUCGGUUGUGACCUGCAAAUUAGCACUUUGACGUUCAAGUCAGCAAAGUCACCACACAACCAGCAUAAAUGUAAUCAGAAAAGUAUAUCAUACCUGGCUAGGUAUCCUUAUAUUUAUAGAUGCCAGAUUCUGUAAUCGUUGUCCACGUUACCCGCAAGAUUCACACCACACUGAUAACCACUAACAACGUGCCCGUGAUUUUCGCCCCUACCUUUUUCACAUUACGACUGCACUUAUCGAUCAUCUUCCUUAUCUUCCCGACCGACCUUUUCUACUUCUCGACCGAUCCUCAUCGUUCCUCAUUUACUACACUACAGUUGCAUUAGUAUAACAUUUUCUUUGACCACAGGACAAGUCUUGCUAAAAGUUAUUUUUACAUUAUUGAUAUUUUAAUUUCU